CUGAACCAGCCAAGUAGCGUGAAGGAUGAAGGCUCUAUGGGUCGUAAACUUCUUUUAUAUGGGAAUAAAGUUUUCCACGUGAGGAAUUUUGUAUGUACCAUAUGAAUAAGGAUCGGCUAACUCCGUGCCAGCAGCCGCGGUAAUACGGAGGAUCCGAGCGUUAUCCGGAUUUAUUGGGUUUAAAGGGAGCGUAGGCGGAUUAUUAAGUCAGUUGGGAAAGUUUGCGG
rnacentral:rRNA from 1 species